AUGAAGGCGAAGGUGGAGAGUGAAUAUUGGGAGAGGAAGAAGAGAGAAAUUUUAGCGAGUUUUCUUGUGAUUCCUUUGAAGAGAAUGAAGAAUCCCCUUGAUAAAUCUGCUUGGUAUUUGGAAGUUGGCUUGGUUUUCGCAGCCAGCUUAGGCUUGGAAGCAGCAGGCUUCUUGUUUCUGAUUUUCUGUUUUCACGGAUAUACUGGUUUGUAA